rnacentral:rRNA from 1 species
UACGUAGUGGGCGAGCGUUGUCCGGAAUUACUGGGCGUAAAGGGCGUGUAGGCGGUUUGUCAAGUCAGGUGUGAAAUCUUAAGGCUCAACCUUAAGACUGCGCCUGAAACUGGCAGGCUUGAGGGCAGGAGAGGAGAGCGGAAUUCCCAGUGUAGCGGUGAAAUGCGUAGAUAUUGGGAGGAACACCAGUGGCGAAGGCGGCUCUCUGGACUGUAACUGACGCUGAGGCACGAAAGCGUGGGGAGCAAACAGGAUUAGAUACCCU